rnacentral:tRNA from 1 species
UGGAUAGUAUAGUGGUUAGUACCUCACGUUGUGGCCGUGAUAUCCCGGGUUCGACUCCCGGUCC